UGGCCCUCAGUACGGCGAGUGAGCGGCAAAGCUCAAAUUUGAAAUCUAGUACCUUCGGUGCUCGAGUUGUAAUUUGAAGGUAGUUUUCUGGUGCUGGCCCUUGUCUAUGUUCCUUGGAACAGGACGUCAUAGAGGGUGAGAAUCCCGUCUGAUGGGGUGUCCAGUGCUUUGUAGAUUUCUACCGAAGAGUCGAGUUGUUUGGGAAUGCAGCUCUAAGUGGGUGGUAAAUUCCAUCUAAAGCUAAAUACUGGCGAGAGACCGAUAGCGAACAAGUACAGUGAUGGAAAGAUGAAAAGAACUUUGAAAAGAGAGUGAAAAAGUACGUGAAAUUGUUGAAAGGGAAGGGUAUUGGAUCAGACUUGGUGUCUUGUGAUUAUCUUCCCUUCUUGGGUUGUGCACUCGCAUUUCACUGGGCCAGCAUCGGUUCGGAUGGCAAGAUAAAUGGCUUGGGAAUGUGGCACUCUUCGGAGUGUGUUA
rnacentral:rRNA from 1 species